rnacentral:rRNA from 1 species
UACGUAGGGGGCAAGCGUUGUCCGGAUUUAUUGGGCGUAAAGAGCGUGUAGGCGGCCAUACAGGUCAGCUGUGAAAACUCGAGGCUCAACCUCGAGACGUCGGUUGAAACCGUAUGGCUAGAGUCCGGAAGAGGAGAGUGGAAUUCCCGGUGUAGCGGUGAAAUGCGCAGAUAUCGGGAAGAACACCCGUGGCGAAGGCGGCUCUCUGGGACAACACUGACGCUGAGGCACGAAAGCGUGGGGAGCAAACAGG